rnacentral:rRNA from 1 species
UACGUAGGGUGCAAGCGUUGUCCGGAAUUAUUGGGCGUAAAGAGCUCGUAGGCGGUUUGUCGCGUCUGCUGUGAAAACUCGGGGCUUAACCCCGGGCCUGCAGUGGGUACGGGCAGACUAGAGUGCGGUAGGGGAGACUGGAAUUCCUGGUGUAGCGGUGAAAUGCGCAGAUAUCAGGAGGAACACCGGUGGCGAAGGCGGGUCUCUGGGCCGGUACUGACGCUGAGGAGCGAAAGCGUGGGGAGCAAACAGG